rnacentral:lncRNA from 1 species
AAAUUAUUUCAUUGAAUUAAUAUCCUUCCUCCAGGAGUUCAAUUAUUUUGAAAUAAAAACCUUUUCUAGACAUUCUUCACAUCCCUACUAGAAGAUAGUCCAGUACUUCAAACUCAGUGACUCUCCCCCUAAAAUAUCUUAUUCACAGACAGACUUUUAAAAAAGUCUUAAUUACAGAAACACCGUGCAUGGUGUCUAGUCCUCAAACACCAUGCUCUAAGAACUGGACCUUUCUUCGGCCCUGGUAACUGUGGUUUCAUAUGAUUAUACAUUCCCACUACCACCCCAACCCAGACUGACAGGUCCCCAAGACCAAGGUGAAACCCUCAGACUUUCCUCCAGAGAAUGAAAACAAGGAUUCUAGAAUGUUCGUCAAGUUUCUGUUGAUUUCAGACUGAGGCUGAGGUGGCCAUUGUGAGGCAGCCAUCUUGAGCCAGAUGCAUGGAGAAGGAGCCAAAGCUAGAUGGUUCCUAGUUCACGGCCCCAGUCUUCUGUGAACCCUGAUCGCAUUUCCUGCGUUUGGGUCCCGAGACAUAUCCUAAUCUUUGACGUAUAUUAUGCCAUUUUUGCAACCAUGAGAAGCGCCCCUGAGGCAAAGAUAUUCCCGAUAUCACCGAAGAACGGUGGGCCACAACUGUCAGUGCUCAGCUGGAGAGGAACAGGUCUACUACCUUGCAACACAUUUUCUUUUAUUCACAACUUAUUGCUGAGUCAUCUUUUGUCUGUGCUGCUUCAGGAGGGCUGAUCUAUCUGUUCACAAUACAACUCCGGUGACCCCACUGUCCAGAACUACACCGGGCAGGGGAUCCUACCAACCAACCUUGUUAGCGAACACUUUCCCUGCAAAUAACAGAAGGAAAACAUUAGCCCAGCAUUCCGCUUUCUUCUUCAAUGCUUAGGUUUUUGUCUUUUUGCUGUUUUAAGCUUGAGAAUUAAUUGAGUGGGGACUACGGGAUCCUACGAUUCCACAGUACAUGGGAAUGGAAGCUCUAUAAGGCAGGGUUGAUGCCUGUUUACCUUGGUGUCUUCGGGCCCUGCAGAGCACCCCACACAAAGCAAACGCCCCUCAAAAAAUCAAAGGGCGAAAAGGAGAACAGUCAAGAACACAAACCCUGGAGUCAGAUCUGGGUUAGAAUUCUAAAUCCUCCACUUACAGCCUCGUAAUAUUCACCGGGGUACAGAAUUCCACUAAGAAUUUUAUGUACAUUAUCUUAUUUAAUACUCCUUCCCCCCAAAAGCUUUAAGGUAUUAUUACCCCUCAUUUUACACUUUAUGAAAAGUAAACAACUUACCUGAGGCCACAAAGUUCCCGAGCCCAUGCCUAAGUCCCUAACACCUAUAGGAUAAACUGUGGCUUACCAUUCAAU